UUAACAUGACACCUGCUGACCCACUUAUGAUGGUGUCAGCGAAUAGGACUUGCAUCGCCGUAAAAUGGACUUAGGACUUCAACCGAGGGAGAAGACGGACUGGCUGAGGGACUGGUGGAGCUGACGGACUGGCUGAGGGACUGGUGGAGCUGACGGACUGGCUGAGGGACUGGUGGAGCUGACGGACUGGUGGAGCUGACGGAGCUGACGGACUGGUGGAGGAGAUAAUAAUAACAUGACACCUGCUGACCCACUUAUGAUGGCGUCAGCGAAUAGGACCUGCAUCGCCAUAAAAUGGACUUAGGACUUCAACCGAGGGAGAAGACGGACUGGCUGA
rnacentral:lncRNA from 1 species